GCGACCGGUACUAUUCCUGAGGUGGUUUCCAUUCACACCAACGAUGUGCACGGUGAUGCAGCAGCACACAGUGCAGCCGUUAUGCCAUCGGACGGUUCCUCAUCAUCGCACGCUGUCAGCUCUGGCACGGUGGUCGCUGUCAUCAUGAUCCUGGUGCUCGUAGUUGCCGUUGGCGUGUGGCUGCUGUAUGCAUACCGCAACCCCCAGACGCCUGCUGGACAGCUCCUCAUCAAGUAUCGUCCGAGCCAGUGGAGGCUCCAUGGUGAAGCCCGCUACACGGCCGCCACCUCGGUCCAUAUCUGAGGAAGCUGUCCAACGGCCAACGACUUUGAUAACAAUGUCGUGACCUCAGGAGCCGGGGUAAUGACAUUGAAAGGAGGAGCGAGUUCUUCCCUUGGAGUCGUCGGCUCUGCCGGCUUCAAGCACUGACCCAUCUGUUCAGCUCUCCCCCUCCUUCCCCUCUUCUAUUCACUUCCCUCUGUUGUGCUUGGACUCGUCUGUGCAGCAGGCAAACAUGUCGUGGCAUCUUUUACUUUGGGCAGUCAAUGGAGAAAGACGCAACCAGUGGGCUGCCUUCUCUGUUGAUCAUUUGUUUUGAGAAUAGUUGUAGUUUCUGUGGGCAGCAAAAGCAGGCAUGACAAACGAAAGGUAUGGGUUCACACCCCUCCCUUUCAGCACUGUCAAGUAUAGUAACACCUUGUUAAUACGUACCUGCUUAAUAAGUAAUUCUGGUUUAAAUAUAGUGGUGACGGAUCCCCCGCCCUGUCACCAUUGAACCUAAUGUAUUGGCUGACUGCUUAAACCGUAGUCGCUUAACACAUUCGAAAUGGGUAGUGCGUAGUAUUUACUUAAUUUUUCAGCGCAUACAAGCAUGGACUCUGAAAUGGCACACGCGCCGACCAUAAAUAGCAAAAUUGCGACGCACGGGCCUUUUCCAGACUACAGUUGCCACCGAUAGUGACAUCAAAACACGGUAGCCAGGACGUGUUUCCUGCUCCCAAUGCUUCGCGCACUUCCACCUCAUCGUCAUGGAUGACGAUGUGCAUACCUGAUCCACGUUCUCUGCCAACUACGUAUUAAGGAGGUUUUCCUGUACUUUGACGAGGCAUACAGCAGAAAUGCGCUGCCAACAAGUGUUAGUUAAUUCAGUGAGAAAUUAUGCCGAAUGGCAUGUCGCAAGAUGCAUGUCUCGUUUAUAGUGAUCAAUAAUGAAUAUGGCUCAGCGCUUGA
rnacentral:lncRNA from 1 species